GACAGAGGCCCCAAGCGUUAGGCGGAAUCACUGGGCUUAAAGCGUGUGUAGGCGGACGCCUAAGUGUCUUGUGAAAUCCCACGGCUCACCCGUGGAACUGCUGGGCAUACUGGGCGUCUUGGGCCAACUAGGGGCAGCCGGAACAAGCGGUGGAGCGGUGAAAUGUGUAGAGAUCGGGAGGAACACCGGUGGCGAAGGCGGGUCUCUGGGCAAUUCCUGACGCUGAGGCGCGAAAGCGUGGGGAGCAAACGGG
rnacentral:rRNA from 1 species